UUGGCAUUUAAUAGUAAAUUGAUAUAACUCAAUAAACAUUUUUGAACAUUGAGUUCAUAUUAACCGGAAGUGCAAUAACUAAUAAUAAUUUAUCAUUUACACAAAAAUAUUUGAACUCCCUAUAUUCUUUCUUCUCCAGAAAUCUGAAUAAAUAUCUAUUGACAUUUAUGAAAUAACUUUAAAACUUUAUACUUUAUUGUAUUAAAAUAUUUUUAUUUAAAAUAAUAAAAAAUAAUAAAUAUAAUAUAUUUACUAUUAUAUAAUAGUAAAUUAUAAAAAUUUUUAUACCCAAAGCAUAGUUGUUAAUUAUUUUUAUAUAAUUUAUUAAUUUUUUAUAGGUAUAUUAUUUUAAAUAAAAUUAUUCUUUGGGAGCAUGUUUUAUUUAACUUGAAAGGUUGUUCUAUUGAAGUAUUCUUAUCUUCCCUUCUUAUUUAUAUUAUUUGGGAUACAAUUACUAGAGCCUAUAUUAAUACUGAAAAAUGUUUUGUUGCUUAAAGUGGGUACCAUUAAAAGUUUCAGUGCAUAUACGAGAACAGCAUUUGAUUUUUGUAUGACAAGAGAAAUGGCCGCAAAUUUUAGUUUUUGUGACAACACCAAACAAGCUUUUAAUAAGCUUCACAUUUUUUAGAUGCUAUGUCUGGCCAAAUCAUAAUACCUGAACACGAAAGAACAUUUAACAAAAUAAUGGCUAAUAUUUUAAAGCAUUAUGGCAAUAAGAAAGCAUCACAGCAAUAAAAUACUUUUUUUUUUUUUGUUAUUCAAUCAACAUUUCAUUUUUUUGUAAAUGACUUUUAAAAUUUAUUUACUUAGAUUAUUUCACAGUUUUUUUUUUAUUAAUAAGUAAAAACAAAAUAUAGCAUUUUAGGUAUCAAAAUAAAAACAGUAAAAAAAAACCCAGUACAGGGGGGUCGC